UAGCGCCCCUGUUUGCUUCAUCUAACGUUAAACAUUCGAUUACCACAUUUGUCGUCGUUUGAACGGAAAGUGGCCUCUAAUUUAGCUUGCUAGCUCACUCAGAUAGUUUAGCGAUUUAUCUAGCUAUGAUGCUAGCUAAUCAUAAUAAUAAAUGUUUCUAUCUAACUAUCUAAUUGUAGUAGUUUCCAUAUCACUUCUCAGACUAUCAACAACAUGACGCCGAAAAAAGAAAUGGGCGGCAAGUGGCAAUUGGAGGUCCCGGCUCAUCAGUAGAGUCUAGCAUCAAACAGAGUUGGCUCAACCUGGCCUGUCCAUGUCUCCACUCAAGUUGUUCAGCAGGGGAGGAGACAGUACUUCAGAUGUGGUGAUUCGUUUUGUGGCCCUGUGGGGAAGCGACGAUUCUGGAGCAGCUUGAAAGCUACCUGUAGAGGGAGCUGCAGGCUCUUGACCCACUUCUGCCAAAAGUCAAACUUCACGUCCCAUCCAUCUGUCUUUUAAUUUAUACAUGUUAUCCAUACAUUUUCAUGGGUUUGGUACAUGGUAUUUACCUAACUACAAUAAGGAGUACAGCCUAUAACUUGGUUGUCAAGUCACAAAAUCUGCCCUCUGUCAUAUAUACUGUACAAGCCGCUACAGUCUUACAUACUUUUUAAAAAUGAAAUCACAUUUGGUGUGUAGCAUUGCAGCAUGGAAUGUUUGUGAUUGUGGCAUAUAUUCCUAUAGUGUUAUGGUGAAUGUGAGCCUGGACAGCACAACAAGGAUGAGUGGAAGUAUGAGAGGGGCUUACAUAUUUCAUGCUUAUAGGAUGUUGGAUUUGAUUUGAUUUGACUGCAAUGUCUAUUUCUGCAGCAUACCUAUGGGACUAGAUCUGUGAGCUAGUGCCCCUCCGUGCUCAUCUGGUUCUGGUCUCAGAGCAAUGUGAGAAGGGGACCAAAUCACAUUUUAUUGGUUGCGUACAAUUUUUUUUGAUGUUAUCAUGGGUGUAGCAAAAUGCUUAUGUUCUUAGCUCCAACAGUGCAGUAAUACCUAACAAUGCAAAACAAUACACACAAAUCCCCAAAAUAAAAAGGGACAAAUUUAAAUAUUACAACGAGCAACAUCAGAGUCCGGAAUAUAACUAUAUAUGUAUAUAUGAUGGUGUGUAUAGACAUUAUGGACAGUAUAUGAAUAGAAAAGGUGUGUACAGCAGUAGUUCUAUAGGAUGAGCUUUGAAUAGAACACAGUAUAUAGAGUGCAUUCAGAAAGUAUUCAAACCCCCUCAAUUUUCCCACAUUUUGUUAUG